GCCGCUAUCACACUAGGAAAAAGCCAUGGUCAAGCGUGUCAGGAAGGGAACCACUAGUAGCUAUGUAUAUUAUUAAUUAAACAAAAUUACAAGCAAUAGGUGGCAGAGUAUAUAGAAAUGCUUGUACAAGAUGCAAAACCAGAGAAGCAUACUUCGGAGAAAGUGAUAUAUGGAUAUAUUUAAGUAUAGAAAGUAUCGAAAUGGACGGUGUAGCAGAAGAAAGGUAGGUUUCUACUCUAGUCUUUUUCAUUAGGGUAAACGUUUCAAACAUUAGAGAGGCCAAGAAAAAAGAGCUCUCCCAACUAACUAGGUCAAAAACCAAAAUAAAUAUAAUAAUGUACACCCGAUACUUUCAAUGGCCGACAACUCGUUCCUCUCUUUCACAUGUUGAUUUUUCAUUUUCCCUCUCUUAUGGCCUUGUUCUGGCCGAUGGAUCUCUCCGUCAAUAACCCAUUAUUUUUUUUUUUUGAUGAAUCAGACGUGAAUGCAUAGACCAGACAACACUUCUAUAGAUACAUACACCUGUAGGUCUAUAUGAAAAUGUGAAAUAUUUUAACGAAUAAGGUCAUAUAUGAUCUUUUUUUUGUAUAGAAUAUAUAUGAUACAAAAAUAUUUUAUGUUCAUAUGAGAGAAGGAACCUAAAGAAGUUUUGUUUUUAUGGUCUUUACUUCCGGAU
rnacentral:misc_RNA from 1 species